UACGUAGGGGGCAAGCGUUGUCCGGAUUUAUUGGGCGUAAAGAGCGUGUAGGCGGCCAGGUAGGUCAGCUGUGAAACUCGAGGCUCAACCUCGAGACGCCGAUGGAAACCCCCAGCUAGAGUCCGGAAGAGGAGAGUGGAAUUCCUGGUGUAGCGGUGAAAUGCGCAGAUAUCAGGAAGAACACCCGUGGCUAAGGCGGCUCUCUAGUACGGUACUGACGCUGAGACGCGAAAGCGUGGGGAGCGAACAGG
rnacentral:rRNA from 1 species